UCUAUAAUGUAAUCUUGUUUUUCU
rnacentral:sRNA from 1 species